rnacentral:rRNA from 1 species
GGGGGGUCAAUUAGAUAUUCCUGCCCAGUGACGAAAGGUUCAACGGCCGCGGUAUCCUAACCGUGCAAAGGUAGCAUAAUCACUUGCCUAUUAAUUGUAGGCUAGAAUGAACGGGUAAACGAAAUAAAGACUGUCUCAGCUAGUUACCAAAAAAUUAUUUUCCACAUGAAGAAAAGUAGAUAUAUUCGAAGGACAAGAAGACCCUAUAGAGCUUAAUUCAAACUAUAGAUUUAUACUAUAUAAAAAAUUCGGUUGGGGCGACCCCGGAACAUUUAUCAUCCUAAAUAAAUAGAUAUAUAAAUCCAAAAAUUGACCCUAUUAAGAUCACAAAAUCAAGCUACCUUAGGGAUAACAGGCUAAUCCCAUUCAAGAGUCCAUAUCAACAAUGGGGUUUGGCACCUCGAUGUUGGCUUAGGGUAUCUAUACAGCGCAAAAGUUAUAUAAAGAUGGUUUGUUCAACCAAUAAUUCCCUACGUGAUCUGAUUUCAGACCAGAG